rnacentral:rRNA from 1 species
AGCGAACGCUGGCGGCAGGCCUAACACAUGCAAGUCGAACGAACUCUUCGGAGUUAGUGGCGGACGGGUGAGUAACACGUGGGAACGUGCCUUUUGGCUCGGAAUAACUCAGGGAAACUUGUGCUAAUACCGAAUGUGUCCCUCGGGGGAAAGAUUUAUCGCCAUUAGAGCGGCCCGCGUCUGAUUAGCUAGUUGGUGAGGUAACGGCGCACCAAGGCGACGAUCAGUAGCUGGUCUGAGAGGAUGACCAGCCACACUGGGACUGAGACACGGCCCAGACUCCUACGGGAGGCAGGAGUGGGGAAUCUUGCGCAAUGGGCGAAAGCCUGACGCAGCCAUGCCGCGUGAAUGAUGAAGGUCUUAGGAUAGUAAAGUUCUUUCACCGGGGACGAUAAUGACGGUACCCGGAGAAGAAGCCCCGGCUAACUUCGUG